rfam:Octopus bimaculoides Scaffold56892_contig_23, whole genome shotgun sequence.
AGCUUUGUGCAGAGGCGGUACCAAAGCCAAUGAAGUAAAUCUGAGGCGUGGUUAUUGGUAGUUGAAAACAAUAUCAUGGAUAAAGAAAACAGAUCUCUGAUCAUUUUUAUAAUUUAUGUAUGAUGUGUCUGUGU